rnacentral:lncRNA from 1 species
ACACGUGGAAUAAGGAGAGUGGGUGUUGGAGGUAUGCAUUUGGUUGUUACGGGAAUAAAGGAUGGCCAAUCAAAAGGAGACAGUUGGCAAGAGGGUAACAAACGAGUCGACUCAAGACGUUAGCUCAGUGAGUUGAGGAACAAGAGAGACGACGAGUUUAAAUACAGCUUUUGCAACUUCUUUUCAAUUCAUUCAGAAAAAUAUAAUGUUAACUUUGUUCUGGGUUACGAUUUGUACUCCACUUCAUAUCGUUUGAGGAUUUAUAAAAGAUCUUCUAUGUUUGAGUUACUGAUUUCUGUUUUACGAACGGCAAUUCGAUCAUAGCAACGGUUUCAUCGUUAUCAAAUUCACCCUUGAGGUCAUUGAAUUGAAAUUUUCAAAAAUUAUGGUUCUUGAGAAUUGAGGAUUUCUGAAAUUUUUCAAUAAAUUUGAAAUAGCUUGCAUGAAUAGAUGCUACUGAGUGUAUUGAUAAUUUUUGAAAAAGAUUACA